rnacentral:piRNA from 1 species
UCCACAUGAGGAAUGAGAGAUGAAUGCCUA